GCCAGGCAUGGUGGCGCAUGCCUGUAAUCCCAGCUACGCAGGAGGCUGAGGCAGGAGAAUCACUUGAACCCGGGAGGCGAAGGUUGUAGUGAGCCGAGAUCUGGCCACUGCAUUCUAGCCUGGGCGACAGAGUGAGACUCUGUCUCAA
ensembl:misc_RNA Metazoa_SRP Metazoan signal recognition particle RNA